CCUACGGGAGGCAGCAGUGGGGAAUAUUGCGCAAUGGGCGAAAGCCUGACGCAGCCAUGCCGCGUGUGUGAAGAAGGCCUUCGGGUUGUAAAGCACUUUCAAUUGGGAGGAAAGGUUCACGGCUAAUAACCGUGAGCUGUGACGUUACCUUUAGAAGAAGCACCGGCUAACUCCGUGCCAGCAGCCGCGGUAAUACGGAGGGUGCGAGCGUUAAUCGGAAUUACUGGGCGUAAAGCGCGCGUAGGUGGUCUGUUAAGUCGGAUGUGAAAGCCCCGGGCUCAACCUGGGAACUGCAUCCGAUACUGGCAGACUAGAGUGCGGGAGAGGGAGGUAGAAUUCCACGUGUAGCGGUGAAAUGCGUAGAUAUUUGGAGGAACACCAGUGGCGAAGGCGGCUCACUGGCUCGAUACUGACGCUGAGGUGCGAAAGUGUGGGGAGCAAACAGGAUUAGAUACCCUGGUAG
rnacentral:rRNA from 1 species